GGGCCCGCACAAGCGGUGGAGCAUGUGGUUUAAUUCGAUGAUACGCGAGGAACCUUACCAGGGCUUAAAUGUAGUAUGACCGGCUUGGAAACAGGCCUUCUCUUCGGAGCAGAUUACAAGGUGCUGCAUGGUUGUCGUCAGCUCGUGCCGUGAGGUGUUAGGUUAAGUCCUGCAACGAGCGCAACCCCUAUUCUUAGUUGCCAGCGGUUCGGCCGGGGACUCUAAGAAGACUGCCAGCGCAAGCUGAGAGGAAGGUGGGGAUGACGUCAAAUCAUCACGGCCCUUACGUCCUGGGCUACACACGUGCUACAAUGGUAGAGACAGAGGGCAGCCACCUGGUGACAGGGAGCGAAUCCUUAAACUCUAUCUCAGUUCGGAUCGGAGUCUGCAACUCGACUCCGUG
rnacentral:rRNA from 1 species